GCAAACUUGGUCAUUUAGAGGAAGUAAAAGUCGUAACAAGGUUUCCGUAGGUGAACCUGCGGAAGGAUCAUUAACGAACCGAACAAAGGGGGGGGCGCCCCCUCGGCUGGUGCUGGCCCCUCGGGGCACGUGCACGCCUUGCGCGCCCCUCCGCUCGCUUCGCCUCCCCUGUGCACUUCAUGUAGGUCGCCCACCGGCGCCUACGAUUUUCGUCUUUGUACGCACCCUGAUUGCAUGUCGCUUACGUUGACACGAAAUACAAUACAACUUUCAACAACGGAUCUCUUGGCUCUCGCAUCGAUGAAGAACGCAGC
rnacentral:misc_RNA from 1 species